rnacentral:rRNA from 1 species
UUCCGGUUGAUCCUGCCGGAGGCCAUUGCUAUUGGGAUCCGAUUUAGCCAUGCUAGUCGUACGAGUUCACACUCGUGGCGAAUAGCUCAGUAACACGUGGCCAAACUACCCUUCGGAGCGCAAUACCCUCGCGAAACUGAGGCUAAUAGCGCAUACCAUACCACCACUGGAAUGAGUGGUAUGCCAAACGCUCCGGCGCCGAAGGAUGUGGCUGCGGCCGAUUAGGUAGACGGUGGGGUAACGGCCCACCGUGCCAAUAAUCGGUAUGGGUCAUGAGAGUGAGAACCCAGAGACGGAAUCUGAGACAAGAUUCCGGGCCCUACGGGGCGCAGCAGGCGCGAAACCUUUACACUGCACGACAGUGCGAUAGGGGGAUCCCAAGUGCACAGGCAUAGCGCCUGUGCUUUUCGACACCCUAAGGCGGUGUCAGAAUAAGGGCUGGGCAAGACCGGUGCCAGCCGCCGCGGUAAUACCGGCAGCCCAAGUGAUGGCCGAUCUUAUUGGGCCUAAAGCGUCCGUAGCUGGCCACGCAAGUCCAUCGGGAAAUCCACCUGCCCAACAGGUGGGCGCCCGGUAGAAACUGCGUGGCUUGGGACCGGAAGGCGCGACGGGUACGUCCGGGGUAGGAGUGAAAUCCCGUAAUCCUGGACGGACCGCCGAUGGCGAAAGCACGUCGCGAGAACGGAUCCGACAGUGAGGGACGAAAGCCAGGGUCUCGAACCGGAUUAGAUACCCGGGUAGUCCUGGCCGUAAACAAUGUCUGCUAGGUGUGGCUCCCACUACGAGUGGGUGCUGUGCCGUAGGGAAGCCGCUAAGCAGACCGCCUGGGAAGUACGUCCGCAAGGAUGAAACUUAAAGGAAUUGGCGGGGGAGCACUACAACCGGAGGAGCCUGCGGUUUAAUUGGACUCAACGCCGGACAUCUCACCAGCAUCGACUGUAGUAAUGACGAUCAGGUUGAUGACCUUAUCCGAGCUUCAGAGAGGAGGUGCAUGGCCGCCGUCAGCUCGUACCGUGAGGCGUCCUGUUAAGUCAGGCAACGAGCGAGACCCGCAUCCUUACUUGCCAGCAGUAUCGCGAGAUAGCUGGGGACAGUAGGGAGACCGCCGUGGCUAACACGGAGGAAGGAACGGGCAACGGUAGGUCAGUAUGCCCCGAAUG